GGAACCUUGUUGCUAGGGACCGGGCGGUUUGCGGCAACCGUGGGCACUGCUGAAUUUGAAUUGAGGGGCGAGGGAAAAGUUUUCCUCAGGUGUGGUGGGGAGAGGGAGGCGGAUGCCGGGAAACCGUAGGGACGCGGUCAGAAAGGCGACGGGCUGUCGGAGUUGGAAAGGUAAAGUUGGAGGCUCGGCGGCGUCCUGCCUCCGCGCUGGCCACACCCGCCGCGGCUGCCCGGGGCAGGGAGGGAUCUGGCUGAUUCUCCCUGUACCCUGUGCCCUCGGAGCUGCCCCUCCGAGCGCCCAGAGGUCCCCGCCUGCCUGCUUCCUGGAGGCAGGGCUACCAUCAGUCCCACGCCUCGCGUGUCCGCCCCCCGCACCCCGGGGCCAAGGAAAGGGAUCGCGGUCUGGACUCCCCGGGGAGUUCCCUUGAUGAGGGGAAGGGCAGGUUUGGGGACGGCGAGGACACGCGGCGACCGGAGAGAGGCUACCUGACCCGCGCAGCCCGGACUCCCUUCCCUUCCCUUCCAGGGACGCCUGGUUUCCCCCCAAGCGAACCGGGAUGGGAAGUGACUUCAAUGAGAUUGAACUUCAGCUGGAUUGAAAGAGAGGCUAGAAGUUCCGCUUGCCAGCAGCCUCCUUAGUAGAGCGGAAUGAGUAAUACCCACACGGUGCUUGUCUCACUUCCCCAUCCGCACCCGGCCCUCACCUGCUGUCACCUCGGCCUCCCACACCCGGUCCGCGCUCCCCGCCCUCUUCCUCGCGUAGAACCGUGGGAUCCUAGGUGGCAGGACUCAGAGCUAAGGUAUCCACAGGCCAUGAAUUCCUUCCUAAAUGAGCGGUCAUCGCCGUGCAGGACCUUAAGGCAAGAAGCAUCGGCUGACAGAUGUGAUCUCUGAACCUGAUAGAUUGCUGAUUUUAUCUUAUUUUAUCCUUGACUUGGUACAAGUUUUGGGAUUUCUGAAAAGACCAUACAGAUAACCACAAAUAUCAAGAAAGUCGUCUUCAGUAUUAAGUAGAAUUUAGAUUUAGGUUUCCUUCCUGCUUCCCACCUCCUUCGAAUAAGGAAACGUCUUUGGGACCAACUUUAUGGAAUAAAUAAGCUGAGCUGUAUUUCAAGUAAUAUAGUUAUAAAUUAACAAUGUAGCAGUUAUUGAUAGAGAAAUUGAGAAAACUGAAACGUGACCGGAGUAUUGGAAAUAACGUAGUACAUCACCUAGCACAAUGACACAUAGUAGGUGCUCAAUAAAUUUAUGCUUAUAAUUUUUGUCACUUCUAUGGCAGGAUUUUUUUAUUAGGUUAAAAUUAUCUUUUAAACACCUUCCGGAAUUUUAGAAUAUUCAUUAAUAAUGUCUUCAAACCUUUCAACUGAAAUAAAUUUACAGCUGAAGUCUGAUGAUUUAAAGUUAGAAAGUUUAAUCUUGAAUAUAAAUGAACAUUUUCUCUCCCACAUUUUCUUGGGCAUUUUGAGAAGUAAAUGCGUUAUUUAUUGGUCCAUGAAAUGUGACUGUAAAUAUUCUUUGCUAUACAUUAUGUCUAUAUAUCUGCAUUCAUCCUCAAUGCCAAAACUAGAAUCAUUAGUCUUAAUGAUCAUUUUAAGUACAGGCAGUCCUCGCUUUCCUUGAUACCAUGUUAACCGAAACUUGUGUAUGUCAACACGGUGUCCUUGCUUUGCUUGGUUAAGUGUGAGUUCUUCCUCCCUUUUUUUAAGAGUUGUACAAUGUUUUUCAGUCGCCUACCGAAUCAGGUCAUAGACUAUGGAAUUGACCCCACCCCACCAACAUUUUUACAGCUACCCUGAUUUCUGACCAGAAAGGAAAAAAAAACUUUCCAGCUCUAUCACACAUUUUACCUACUCUUAAACUUAGGAGGUAUUACAAAUAGCAUUUUCUCAUGUUCUCUUUCUGGCCUGUACCUCCCUGCUAAGCUUCCUUCAGUGUUCAUCCUCACCUCAUAGAGAGAUGAAGUGAAGAGACAAACAGAAGUCAUUUUCUUCCUUACUUUAGUGGUUUCUGGUUUAGUUAGUUUGGGCCAAACUGUGGACAAGUACCUUUUCAGGUAACUUUUUUUUCUUAUUUCUAUGUCCUCAACACCUAGUGGAGUACGUAGCCAAUAGUAGAUGCUUAAUAAACAUUUCUUAAAUUAAUAUUGUUGACCUUUUCUGACCCUGUUCUUGACAGUAAGGUACAUAAUCUGCCUUCAUCCCUUUAGUCCUUAGGAACAGAUAAAGUCAUGGAUAUGAAAGUGAUCACUGUCAUUAAUAUCCACAUUAAAAUUGCUCUUGAUUUUAGUUUCUCCAUAAUCAUUUUCCCUAAACAAUGAACUCUGUUCACCUUUUUUUUUAAAAUAUGCACAGUGAAUAUUACUGGUAGCCCAAAUCUUCUAACAUAAAAUUUCCAUUUUGUAAAAGCUUCUGAUAAGCAUAUAUGUUAUGAAUUGAAUGUUUGAUUAUUAUACUUUAAUAUUCUUGAAAAUAUUGAUACCUGGACUGGAAAGAAAACAGACAAAAGUAAAUCUCAGAAUAAAUUACUGCUUUAAACAUGA
rnacentral:lncRNA from 10 species